rnacentral:rRNA from 1 species
UACGGAGGAUGCAAGCGUUAUCCGGAAUGAUUGGGCGUAAAGGGUCCGCAGGUGGCAGUGUAAGUCUGCUGUCAAAGAAUGAGGCUUAACCUCAUCAAGGCAGUGGAAACUACACAGCUAGAGUACGGUCGGGGUAGAAGGAAUUCCUGGUGUAGCGGUGAAAUGCGUAGAGAUCAGGAAGAACACCGGUGGCGAAAGCGGCAUCCUGGACCAACACUGACGCUGAGGAGCGAAAGCCAGGGGAGCAAACGGG